rnacentral:lncRNA from 1 species
UGAUAUUUAAGUCAUAUUUUAGAGAAAAGAAUCCAGAAAAAACUUAAGAAUGGCUGAGUCUCUCCUCUUCAAGAAAAGUACUAAAAAUAGCGUAGAAUUUCUGCUUGAUUUCCUGGGAUAAAUCAGUAUUCAAAAGCUCAGUAGAAGAAGCACAUCUGAGGUUUUCUGAUUGCUGAAAUGAAGUCAAGAAUUAGAAGUUUUGAGUUGUCUGAUUUCAAACACUAUUCCAUUGAGCUGAUUUCUGCUGUGGUUUUCCUCUUUGUUGAGUCUGCUACUGUUGCUAUUUUUGCUUUUCUCCCAACUCACUUUUUCUCCUUGGUUUGCUGUUUGUUACCAGGUACAUGUCCUUGAUUCUAAACAUGUAAAAAUUGGUUCAUGUGGUUUCGAAGAAAUGAAGAUAUCUGUUCUUAUUAGAUGUUUCCUUCUUUAUCUUCUUUCUCAUUGAAUCUGUUUGUUUCAACUUCCAUGUUGUGGCAUGAUUAAAGUAAAGUUAUGCUGUGAAUAUUGAGACUUAUGCUGGAAAUUGUAAUUGGACUCCGAUUCAGUAUUUGCAGAUUUCAAUUUGUUUUAGUUCCCUAGGCUUGUUAUUGUUAGAAGAAUUAAUUGAUUUUAAGUCCC